GGGCGGUUAGCUCAGUUGGUAGAGCGCCUGCCUUACAAGCAGGAUGUCAUCAGUUCGAGUCUGGUACUGCCCAUCA
rnacentral:tRNA from 4 species